rnacentral:rRNA from 1 species
CCUACGGGUGGCAGCAGUGGGGAAUAUUGGGCAAUGGGCGCAAGCCUGACCCAGCAACGCCGCGUGAAGGCAGAAGGCUUUCGGGUUGUAAACUUCUUUUGACAGGGAAGAGUAGAAGCCGGUACCUGUCGAAUAAGCCACGGCUAACUACGUGCCAGCAGCCACGGUAAUACGUAGGUGGCAAGCGUUGUCCGGAUUUACUGGGUGUAAAGGGCGUGUAGCCGGCUUGACAAGUCAGAUGUGAAAUCCUGCGGCUUAAACGCGGACCUGCAUUUGAAACUGUUGAGCUUGAGUACUGGAGAGGCAGACGGAAUUCCUGGUGUAGCGGUGAAAUGCGUAGAUAUUAGGAGGAACACCAGUGGCGAAGGCGGUCUGCUGAACAGAAACUGACGAUGAGGCGCGAAAGCGUGGGGAGCAAACAGGAUUAGAUACCCCUGUAGUC